UUAAAUUUGUUUCGAUUUUCCUCUCUCACAUCUUAUCUAAACCAUAUUUUACUUAAAAUUGUUCUUAUUAAACACUUAUUCCAGACAUGAUAUGGUGUGUGUAAUACACCUAAACCCAGUGUGAAGGUCAUAUAUUUAGCCAAAACUUUUAAAAUCUCUUCUUCUCCAUUCUUUCUUUGCCACCGCUUCCUCCACCAUCGACCAUCGUCCUGCAGCCGCGUUCUUCGACACACAAGCACUGCAAUAAGUAUUUCUUCAUUUUUUUCAGAUCUGGAAACCAUCACUACAAUGACUGGUUUGUUUAGUAAGAAGAAGAAAAGGAGAGGGAGGGAUGGAUAGG
rnacentral:lncRNA from 1 species